rnacentral:tRNA from 1 species
GGCCACGUGGGAGAAUGGUUAUCCAGAGGAUUGCAAAUCCUUGUAUCCCAGUUCGAUUCUGGGCGUGGCCUCCA